rnacentral:rRNA from 1 species
AGUGAACGCUGGCGGUAGGCCUAACACAUGCAAGUCGAACGGCAGCACAGUAAGAGCUUGCUCUUACGGGUGGCGAGUGGCGGACGGGUGAGGAAUACAUCGGAAUCUACUUUUUCGUGGGGGAUAACGUAGGGAAACUUACGCUAAUACCGCAUACGACCUACGGGUGAAAGCAGGGGAUCUUCGGACCUUGCGCGAUUGAAUGAGCCGAUGUCGGAUUAGCUAGUUGGCGGGGUAAAGGCCCACCAAGGCGACGAUCCGUAGCUGGUCUGAGAGGAUGAUCAGCCACACUGGAACUGAGACACGGUCCAGACUCCUACGGGAGGCAGCAGUGGGGAAUAUUGGACAAUGGGCGCAAGCCUGCUCCAGCCAUACCGAGUGGGUGAAGAAGGCCUUCGGGUUGUAAAGCCCUUUUGUUGGGAAAGAAAAGCAGCAGGUUAAUACCCCGCUGUUAUGACGGUACCCAAAGAAUAAGCACCGGCUAACUUCGUG